rnacentral:rRNA from 1 species
UACGAAGGGGGCUAGCGUUGUUCGGAAUUACUGGGCGUAAAGCGUAUGCAGGCGGAUCUCUAAGUCGGGGGUGAAAUCCUGAGGCUCAACCUCAGAACUGCCUUCGAUACUGGAGAUCUUGAGUCCGGGAGAGGUGAGUGGAACUGCAAGUGUAGAGGUGAAAUUCGUAGAUAUUCGCAAGAACACCAGUGGCGAAGGCGGCUCACUGGCCCGGUACUGACGCUGAGGUGCGAAAGCGUGGGGAGCAAACAGG